GCUGGGCAUGGUGGCAUCUGCCUGUAAUCCCAGCUACUCAGGAGGCUGAGGCAGGAGAAUUGCCUGAACCCAGGAGGUGGAGGUUGCCGUGAGCCGAGAUCGCGCCGUUGCACUCCAGCCUGGGUAACAAGAGCGAAACUCCGUCUCAAAAAAAAAAAAAGAAAAGAAAAAAAGAGACAGAGUCUUGCUCUAUCACCUAGGCUGGAGUGCAGUGGUGCGAUCUCGGCUCACCGCAACCUCUGCCUCCUGGGUUCAAGUGAUCCUCCUGCCUCAG
rnacentral:sRNA from 1 species